rnacentral:rRNA from 1 species
AGAGUUUGAUCCUGGCUCAGAACGAACGCUGGCGGUGUGCUUAACACAUGCAAGUCGAACGAGAAAGUUUCCUUCGGGAAGCUAGUAAAGUGGCGCAAGGGUGAGUAACACGUGAAUAAUCUGCCCUCGAGAUCGGGAUAACCUGAGGAAACUUAGGCUAAUACCGGAUAAGACCACAUUUCAUAUGGAAUGUGGGAAAAGGAGUCUCAAUCUUCACUCGAGGAUGAGUUCGCGGACCAUUAGCUUGUUGGUGAGAUAAAAGCUCACCAAGGCUACGAUGGUUAGCCGGCCUGAGAGGGUGAACGGCCACACUGGAACUGAGACACGGUCCAGACUCCUACGGGAGGCAGCAGUGGGGAAUAUUGCGCAAUGGGCGAAAGCCUGACGCAGCAACACCGUGUGAGCGAUGAAGGCCUUAGGGUUGUAAAGCUCUGUCGAAUGGGAAGAAUUCUGACGGUACCAUUAGAGGAAGCCCCGGCUAACUCCGUGCCAGCAGCCGCGGUAAUACGGAGGGGGCAAGCGUUGUUCGGAAUUAUUGGGCGUAAAGCGUAUGUAGGCGGCCGAGUAAGUCAAGCGUGUAAGCCCGUGGCUCAACCACGGAAUUGCGUUUGAAACUACCCGGCUUGAGUACAGGAGAGGAAAGCGGAAUUCCCAGUGUAGCGGUGAAAUGCAUUGAUAUUGGGAAGAACAUCUGUGGCGAAGGCGGCUUUCUGGUCUGUUACUGACGCUGAGAUACGAAAGCCAGGGGAGCGAACGGGAUUAGAUACCCCGGUAGUCCUGGCUGUAAACGAUGGGCACUAGGUGCAGGGGGUAUCGAUCCCCUCUGUGCCGUAGCUAACGCAUUAAGUGCCCCGCCUGGGGAGUACGGCCGCAAGGCUAAAACUCAAAAGAAUUGACGGGGGCUCGCACAAGCGGUGGAGCAUGUGGCUUAAUUCGAUGCAACG